rnacentral:rRNA from 1 species
GAUGAACGCCUAGCGACAGGCUUAACACAUGCAAGUCGAGGGGCAGCACAGGUAGCAAUACCGGGUGGCGACCGGCGCACGGGUGAGUAACGCGUAUGCAACUUACCUAUCAGAGGGGGAUAACCCGGCGAAAGUCGGACUAAUACCGCAUGAAGCAGGGGCCCCGCAUGGGGAUAUUUGCUAAAGAUUCAUCGCUGAUAGAUAGGCAUGCGUUCCAUUAGGCAGUUGGCGGGGUAACGGCCCACCAAACCGACGAUGGAUAGGGGUUCUGAGAGGAAGGUCCCCCACAUUGGUACUGAGACACGGACCAAACUCCUACGGGAGGCAGCAGUGAGGAAUAUUGGUCAAUGGGCGUAAGCCUGAACCAGCCAAGUCGCGUGAGGGAUGAAGGUUCUAUGGAUCGUAAACCUCUUUUAUAAGGGAAUAAAGUGCGGGACGUGUCCCGUUUUGUAUGUACCUUAUGAAUAAGGAUCGGCUAACUCCGUGCCAGCAGCCGCGGUAAUACGGAGGAUCCGAGCGUUAUCCGGAUUUAUUGGGUUUAAAGGGUGCGUAGGCGGCCUUUUAAGCCAGCGGUGAAAGUCUGUGGCUCAACCAUAGAAUUGCCGUUGAAACUGGGAGGCUUGAGUAUGUUUGAGGCAGGCGGAAUGCGUGGUGUAGCGGUGAAAUGCUUAGAUAUCACGCAGAACCCCGAUUGCGAAGGCAGCCUGCCAAGCCAUGACUGACGCUGAUGCACGAAAGCGUGGGGAUCAAACAGGAUUAGAUACCCUGGUAGUCCACGCAGUAAACGAUGAUCACUAGCUGUUUGCGAUACAUUGUAAGCGGCACAGCGAAAGCGUUAAGUGAUCCACCUGGGGAGUACGCCGGCAACGGUGAAACUCAAAGGAAUUGACGGGGGCCCGCACAAGCGGAGGAACAUGUGGUUUAAUUCGAUGAUACGCGAGGAACCUUACCCGGGUUUGAACGCAUUCGGACCGAGGUGGAAACACCUUUUCUAGCAAUAGCCGUUUGCGAGGUGCUGCAUGGUUGUCGUCAGCUCGUGCCGUGAGGUGUCGGCUUAAGUGCCAUAACGAGCGCAACCCUUGCCACUAGUUACUAACAGGUUAGGCUGAGGACUCUGGUGGGACUGCCAGCGUAAGCUGCGAGGAAGGCGGGGAUGACGUCAAAUCAGCACGGCCCUUACAUCCGGGGCGACACACGUGUUACAAUGGCGUGGACAAAGGGAGGCCACCUGGCGACAGGGAGCGAAUCCCCAAACCACGUCUCAGUUCGGAUCGGAGUCUGCGACCCGACUCCGUGAAGCUGGAUUCGCUAGUAAUCGCGCAUCAGCCAUGGCGCGGUGAAUACGUUUCCCGGGCUCU